AAUAAAUAAAUAAAAUAAACCCAAACCCACUGCCUUCGAGUCAAUUCCGACUCAUAGCGACCCUACAGGACAGAGUAGAGCUGCCUCACAGAGUUUCCAAAGAGCACCUGGCAGAUUCAAACUGCUGACUUCUUGGGUAGCAGCCGUAGCGCUUAACCACUAUGCCACCAGGGUUUCCGGCAAAAGCCUAGGAGCUUAAACAUAUGGUGUCUCAUGAAGACCAAAUAUCAAUGUGGCUGGAAGACUGUGAAGGAGUAAGUGGCCAGAGGUGAGGACAAAUCCCUAUGGAGAAAUGAAAAAUUAGUGGACAGAUUUCUGGCUCCAGUGCUUUCACUUAAUAGUUGUGGCUCUUUUUGAAAGUUUUGGUAUCUGCAAAAUGGGAUAACGAUAACAUGUUCUUUCAUAAUUCCUUCAUAAUUUCAUUGGGUUAAUUUGUUGUUGUUAGGUGCCGUCGAGUCGGUUCCAACGCAUAGCGACCCUAUGCAGAACAGAACGAAACCCUGCCCAGUCCUGCACCAUCCUUACAAUCAUUGUUAUGCUCAAGCUCAUUGUUGCAGCCACUGUGUCAAUCCACCUCGUUGAGGAUCUUCCUCUUUUCCGCUGACCCUGUACCCUGCCAAGCAUGAUGUCCUUCUCCAGGGACUGAUCCCUCCUGACAACAUGUCCAAACUUUUCGCCACUGGAGUACCCAAGCUGGACUUUGAGACAGUGACUGUCUACUCCCUGAUGAUCUAUGCCAAAGACAACCAAGGAACCACGGCAUCACAGACCAUUUUAAUCCAGAUUGCGGAUGUGAACGAGCCACCUGCCUUCACCGGCUCCCUCUCUCAGAGAGACUAAGUUGCUGAAAUUUACAUCCUCGAAGACACUGCUCCGGGCACAGUCAUUUACACAGCAGCGGCUGAGGACCCGGAGGAUGCUGUUUUGGAGAUUGGCAGGCAAGACCUCAAGGCUUCCCCUGAUUCACGUUGCCAUAGGAGCCGGGGAACCCAAGAUCAGCAGGUUGAAGAGCAGGAUUCUCGCUCAAAGGCUCUGAAGACUGACGAAACCCAAGAAUGGAAGAGGAGGAUCCAGCCAUGGCUUCUGUGUGGUUGCUCUGGAAGCUUGGAGUCACGAAGCUUGUGUUCACCUGGGAAGCGCUAACCCUCCUUGGUUUGGCGUGAGGUUGGAGCUCUGCCGUUUCCAGCUCCUGAGUUCUCCGCGAGCAGCCCUGAAUGAGCCUUUCUCAGAACGGAAUAAACUGGACCCUGAAGAGAAGUCCGUCCAGGACCGAAAGGCUCCCGGCCACACGUUCUCCCCUGUAACCUGUUCUCAUGCCUCCAAACCCCGCAGUGGGGCUGUCAUUCUUCUUAGGGUAGAGGCAUUUCUUUACUAGUUGUUGGCGUCGUUACGGAUUGUUGUUGUCAGGCGCUGUCCAGUUGUUUUCGAUUUAUAGCGACCCCAUCAAUGUGAAUUAUUACAGAGAACACAGAGGGGGAAAAAAAAAAACCCAAACAAGCCUAAGUUGGCUGGCCCCACGGAGAGCUAAUUUCUGUCCUUUGGACGGCCUUCCUGUUUAGGGACGCCUUCAUUUAGGGGGUGCUCCCAGCAACCACAAUCUCCAAGCCUUCCUUUCACAGCUGCAGUUGUUCACAUCAGCGCCAUCAUUUUUUUUUUAAGAGUAUCUCAUUUUAUGAAAGAUUUGAUCUCAUAAAAAUGUAGCUUCCCAAUCGACACUCUGCCCCAACAAGUGUUGACAACUCUGUAAUAGUGAGAUUGAAUUUGAAACUGCAUAUUCCUCCGCGGCUACAAACAUUAAGGUGGGUGUCUUAAAAAUUUUAUAUAGAUUGAUGUGUAACCAGACCUGUGCUCGAGAGCACUCUCAGGCAGCUCAGCCGGCGGCCGCCCUCCGUCCUCUGCCACCACGCGGGCGUCGUUACUCCUGCGUUUCCCCUAAAGGUAAACACGUGACGGACUUGCUGGCUGUCCGAAUGCUAGCACUCUGCUACCUUCUACGGGAAGGGCAGGCACCAGUUCUGUCCUAUUGCUCUGUGCAGAAAUGGGCGGGAUGAAUUAAAAUUAAUCUGAGCAUGAUGACUCAUCAGAACGUCGAUAAAUUAAAAGGCCACUAGUUUCUCCAAGGAAUUUUUAGGUUGCUUUCCAAUUCUUCUGGGUUUAAUUUUCCCUAUUAAAUUAUCUCCAGUCUACACGAUUAUUAAGUCAGUAGCACUUGAGAUAAUUAACUCCUGGUAUUAAUCAUCUCAGGGCUUAUUGCCCCAGCUUUUUCUAAUCAUUUGAUGCUCAUCUAGUCCAGAAAUUUUGAGCUUAGCUUCCCCUUUUGGCAGAUGUAAGUCUGAGGUUUGUCAUAAGGAUAUAUGGUGAGAAAAGAGGCAUUAUGUAAAAUACCUAAAAGCUUGGCUCUCAGGCUGCCGGCAUACCAUUUAAAUUUUUUAAGCCUCAGUGUUCCUAUCUGUGAAAUGGGAACUAUGUCAUACCUAUGACAGAGUUGCUGGGAGAACUACAAGACAAUUUAAGACAUGAAGAAAAACACCUUUACAAAGUAUUACUGUCAUGGAUUGAAUUGUGUCCCCCCCCCAAAUAUCUGUCAACUUGGCUAGGUCAUAAUUCCCUUGUAUGAUUAUAUUAUUGUCUCCCGCUCUAUCUUCUGAUGUGAUUUCCCAGUGUCAUAAAUCCUGUCACUAUGAUGUAAUAAGAUGAGUUAGUGGCAACUAUACUGACGAGCUCUACAAGAUUAGGUAGUGUCUUAAGCCAAUCUCUUUUGAGACACAAAACCGAGAAGCCAGCAGAGAGACAUGGGGACCUCAUACCACCAAGAAAGCAGUACUGGGAACCUUUGGAAUUGAGGUUCCUGCACUGAGAUGCUCCCAGACCAAGGGAAGACUGAGGACAAGGACCUCCCUCCAGAGCCGACAGGGACAGAAAGCCUUCCCCUGGAGCCGAUGCCCUGAAUUCGGACUUCUAGCCUACUGGACUAUGAGAGAACAAACUUCUCUUUGUCAUAGCCAUCCCCUUGUGGUAUUUCUGUUAUAGCAGCACUGAAUGUCUAAGACAAUGACCUGUGCUGACACACACAAAGUAAGAUGAAUAAAUCCCCAAUAUUUCAGUUUUUUCCUUCUUACAGCUCCCGUUCCCCCAUUCUCACCACUACCGAACGAUCCCUGAGU